rnacentral:tRNA from 1 species
AAGAAGCUUUAGGUCGAGGCUGCUAACUUUGAUCUGGGGAUGUCUUCUCCGCUUCUUU